UACGUAGGGACCGAGCGUUGUCCGGAAUCAUUGGGCGUAAAGAGCGUGUAGGCGGCCCCUUAAGUCCUGCGUGAAAUCCUGCGGCUCAACCGCAGACGGUCGUGGGAAACUGGAGGCUAGAGUGCGGGAGAGGAGAGUGGAAUUCCCGGGUGUAGCGGUGAAAUGCGCAGAUAUCGAAGAAGAACACCCGUGGCGAAGGCGGCUCUCUGGAACGC
rnacentral:rRNA from 1 species